GCCGAAGUAGCUCAGUUGGUUAGAGCAAUUGUUUUGUAAACAAUAGGUCAAGAGUUCGAAUCUCUUCUUCGGCU
rnacentral:tRNA from 1 species